rnacentral:tRNA from 1 species
GGAAGGGUGGCUGAGUGGACUAUAGCACCGGUCUUGAAAACCGGCGAGCCGCAAGGCUCCGGGGGUUCGAAUCCCUCCCCUUCCG